rnacentral:tRNA from 1 species
GGGGGGUUAGCUCAGCUGGUUAGAGUGCCAGUAUCACACACUGGAUGUCGGCGGUUCGAGUCCGCCACCUCCCACCA